rnacentral:rRNA from 1 species
AAUAGAUACCCGGGUAGGUCCACGCCGUAAACGAUGAGUGCUAAGUGUUAGAGGGUUUCCGCCCUUUAGUGCUGCAGCUAACGCAUUAAGCACUCCGCCUGGGGAGUACGGCCGCAAGGCUGAAACUCAAAGGAAUUGACGGGGGCCCGCACAAGCGGUGGAGCAUGUGGUUUAAUUCGAAGCAACGCGAAGAACCUUACCAGGUCUUGACAUCCUCUGACAACCCUAGAGAUAGGGCUUUCCCCUUCGGGGGACAGAGUGACAGGUGGUGCAUGGUUGUCGUCAGCUCGUGUCGUGAGAUGUUGGGUUAAGUCCCGCAACGAGCGCAACCCUUGAUCUUAGUUGCCAGCAUUCAGUUGGGCACUCUAAGGUGACUGCCGGUGACAAACCGGAGGAAGGUGGGGAUGACGUCAAAUCAUCAUGCCCCUUAUGACCUGGGCUACACACGUGCUACAAUGGAUGGUACAAAGGGCUGCAAACCUGCGAAGGUAAGCGAAUCCCAUAAAGCCAUUCUCAGUUCGGAUUGCAGG